UCUAUUUCAAAGUGUACAAAAGAUUAAGUUUGAAAGUCCAUGGUUGGCAUUACCAAUCACUAAAGAUAACCUUGAAUUUUAACUGGUAACUAUCAAUACAAGAAGUUCAUUUCCAGUGAUUGAAAAAUGUGUAAAAGUUAACCAGCUAAAUCAAAUUUCAUUUUGGAUUAGUGGUAAAAUAAUAAACAAUAAUGAAAUUAAUAUUUUACCAGCUACAAAUAUUACAGAGCUCACAGAAAACAUUAAAAAGUUUAAAUCUAUAAUUGUUUGUCAUGGUGGACCGGAAUAUAAUUUGUUUCCAGAUGCUCCACUAACUAUUUGUAAUGUUUCAUCUAACAAUUUAUUAAGACAUAACAAUUGUGAUAUUAUAAUUAUAUCAAAAGCAAAAUGUUGUAAACAGUGCAAAAGUUUAAAAAAACUUUUGUUAGCAAAAAAGAAACAAGAUAUGAAAAAAGCUAGUGCUCUCUCCUGAAAAAAGAAAAUAGGAGAUAAUAUCAGGAAAAAAAAUUAUUCUCUUCAAUUCUUUUACUUUAUCAGUUAAUGAUAAAAAAAAUAUUAGUGAAUUAAACAAUAAAUUGAGUAAAGCACAGAACGAUAUAUGGCUAUACGCAAUUCAAGAAAAAUUAAGACAACUAAAUGAAUCUUAAAAAACAUUUGUUAUUGAAGCAGCCAAGCCAAUAAAUUAAAAAAUCUCAAAAGUAGACGUUACAGUGACAACUGGUUCAUGCUAUAUCUUUUUUUUGAUAUUCGGUCACCUAGUGCUUUUAGAUAUAUAAAGAAAAGUGCUUUACUGCCUUUCUCGCACCCUAAAACUGUAAGACAGUAUUUGGCAACUAUUAAAACUACCUGUCGUUUUGAUUCAAAUUUUCUUCAACUUCUUAAAAAAUAAAGCAGAUCAGAUGUCAGAUAUGAACAAACACGGCAUUAUAUUAUUUAAUGGCGUAAAUAUGAGAAAAAGUUUAUCUGUAAAUUCAUCAAAUCUUACAUAUUAUACCGGUCUAGAGGAUUAUGGUGAUGAAGGUGUAGAAGGACAUGAAGAAUAUGCCGAUCAUGCUCUUGUAUUUAUAUUGCAAUCAUUGAGCUCUAAUUUCUGCCAAACUAUUUGGAUGUUUGCUUCCAAAAAAGAGAAUUUUAAGGAUGCCCUUUCAUAUUUUAAUGGGUGGGAGGAUGAAAUGGAGACCAAUAAAAUAGAUCCAAAGAUUUCCUUACAAUAACAACUGGACAAGGUCUAUGUGUCACUAUUCAAUUGACAAUUGACCUUUCUAAAUAUUUAUUAGAAGAAUGUGUGUUUGAAUAUGUUCUAACAGAAAAGAUGUGCCAAGAGCACUGGUUGACGUUGGUUGGGUAUUGUUAAUUUUUUUAUAACUAUUUUAAGCAAUGACAAACCAUUAGUAGAGAGAAAAAUAAUCAAUUAAUUUUGUAAUACAAAUAAAAUAAUAUGUAUUAUAUUACAAUGAAAUAUAUAUAAUUUAUAUUAAAUGUAAUAUAAUAAUAUUUAGGUAUUAAAGGGAAUAAAAACAGUAUUCUACAAUUAGUAUCUUUCUAUCUGCUAAAAAUAUUUCACAUAAACAUAAGACAUUAGAUAAUUAUUUAUAUUUAGUUUUAUAUUUUUGUAUUUACCUAUAAAAUAAGAAAUAUUUACAUUUAUACAUUUUAGAUUUUAAUUUAAAUAAUUAUGUACCUAUAUUAAAUACUUAAUUUUUAUAUAUUAGA